AAAGAGCUUACUACCAUCUGGGGAUUGUUCUGUUAACUGUAGAUGAAUUCAAAUUAGGGUGUGAUUUAACGAUCCCCAGAGAAAACAGGCAUGUUGAAACAAUAACGUUUACACACGCUAAUGAUAGAUACGGAGCAGAUAAAGGGAGAAGAAUGCUCUCUUUGUCUGAUGUGAAAGUUAGCCAGGUCCACUGUGCGAUGAUAUUGCCUACUGUUUUUUUAUGUCCUUAGUUUUUUUUUUUUAUUAAAAAUACUUUAUUUAAUUGUAUUUUAUGUGCAUUAGUGUGAAGGUGUCAGAUCUCUUGGAAUUGACGUUACAGACAGUGUGAACUGCCAUGUGGGUGCUGGGUAUUCAAUCUGGUCCUUUGGAAGAGUAAACAGUGCUCUUAAUCACUGAGUCAUCUCUCCAGCCCAUGUCCUUAGUUUUACAUUUUCUUCUUUUUUAAAGAUAUAUUUUAUUUAUUCUCUGCGUAUGGGUGUUUUGUAUACACGUGUAUGUAUGUAUGUGAAGUCCAGUGUGGUGCACCAGGAAGACAGAACAGGGCGUUGGAUCUCCUGAGACUGGAGUUACAGAUAAUUGUGAGCUGCUAUAUGGGUGCAGGGUUUUGAACCUGGGUCCUCUGGAAGAGCAGCAAGUGCUCUUAACCCCUGAGCCAUCUCUACUAUCCUAGUUUUAAUUUUUCUGUGUGCUCAUGUUAUGGGUGCUGUUGUAAAUACAGCUUACUACCUGGAAUUGGUUGGUUUUGGUGUGGGUUUUGAAACAUCUUUAUGUGGUCUUUGCUGUCUUGAAGCUCAAUGUGUAGAUCAAGGAACUCACAGAGAACCUCCUGCCCCUGCCUCCAGGGAUUAAAGACGGCCACCACACUCCAAUGCAGACAGUUUUAUAAAACAUGAUUUUUAUUAGGCUCUAUAAAAAUAUUUAGAAAGUUAAAUUACUGAUAUAAAUCUGCCCUGAUGUGAAGAAUGUUCUUCCUGAGGGGCCUUCAGAUCACAGGAGUCAGUCAUGCCAGGCCAUUUCUUCCUUGUUACAUUCUGCAGGGUAUCUGAAUCGUUAUCCCUACGCUCAGUCAUCUCAUUUAUAAAUCAGAUUCAUUUUCACUGCAUCAUUGAGAGGGAAUGUUAGUGUUUUGUUGUUCCAUGUAGAGGACUUUUUGUUCAUAACUGUAUCGUAAUGCAAAAGAAUCAGUUUUUAGCUUUGGUUACCAGUCUCAUCAUGUUUUUUUACUUGCUUUUUGGUAAAGAGGGCCAGGAAAAGCAACUUGGUGCUGUUAUUCCCCUAAAGGUUUUGUUUGUUUGUUUUGUUUUGGGGCCUCCCUUAUACUAGGUUAGUGAUCUACCUCUGAGCUACAUCUUUGCUGGCCUUUAAUGUUUAAUUUUCCUCAGUCUCCAGAGUAGGUGAAGAUUAUAGGCCUGUUGGUCUGGCAGGACUUUGCCUUGUGACUUGCAGGUUUAUUGUAUUUACAGUAAUUUUCUGCUGAGACAUUUGUUCAGACCCAAAACCUUUGGAGUCAUUCUGACUCAGAAUUUUCCUAUGUUCAUAUCAGCUAAUUCUCUGAUGUUCAAAAUAUGUCCAGAUCUUCAAGCUUUUUCUCAGUACAUUGGCCUGUUGAAACUGCAGUGUAUCUGAUAGGAUUGCUGCUCUCUAAUUACUAGUUACUUUUUUUUCUUUCUAGUCAUUUUGCAUUACAGAAUCUAGAGGGAUCUUUUUUAAGAAAGUAAGAUCAUCUCUUAACAAACAAACAAACAAACAAACAAACAAAAAAACCACCAAACACUGCUAUUUUUUACUGCAGACAAGUCUUUCAAGAGUCCCAAAUGACCUGGCCCUGUAUCAUCCCCAGUCUUUCAUUUACUAACUACCUGAUUGCUCCAUUAUCUAACCGCAAACACAUCCUAGCUUCUAAGAUAUUCAGAUUUGUUGUUUCUUUGCCUGAAUGAGCUCCUAUAUGGUCACAUGGUUCAAUCCUAUCCUCUACCCCUGUGUAGAGGAUAGCCAACUUUCUUCCAUCUUUAAUAAAGCCACUGUACUUCUUGUCCUUGUGUUUAUCACUAUAUUUGUACCAUGUGAUUUACCAGGUUAUCUGGUUUAUUGUAUUUCUCACUACAAGGAUAGAAGCUUUCAGAAGGCAGGUGUUUGUCUGUUGUGCACUUAGUACCUAGAAACUGUUUGGCUUUUAGGAGAUACUCUUGUUAAAUGAAGGCAUUGGUCUUUCCUACCAUAUUAUAAGUGCUUACCAAAUCUGCACUGACCUACAACUCCUACCCAAAACUUAUACUUAUUUAUGUGAGGAUAUGAAUGUGCAUAAAGGGUGGUUCAUAUUUGUGGUUUGGACCCAUGUGCACAUGUGUGUGCAUGUGGAGGCAUGAAGUUGGUAUGGGUAUCUUCCUUGAUUUCUUAUAUUUUAUUUAUUGAGGCAGUACAGUGUCUCUUGCUGAACUUGGAGCUCACCAAUUCUGGUUAAUGUAGUUAGCCAGCUUGUCACAAGGAUCCUAUCUCUGCUUCCCAAGAUACUAGAAUUACAGGUGGCUGCCACAUGUGCCCAGCAUUUAGAUGGGUUCUUGAAAUCCAAAAUCUCAUGCUCGUGCUUACAUGGCAAGUACUUUAUCUAGUGAAUCAUCUCUCCAGCCGAGCACUUUGUGCUUUCUUGCCUUUUUUUUGGGGGGGAGGGUAAAUUUUUUUUUUUUAUUCAUUUCUCUUUUCACUUUUCCCAGGCUACUUGUUUAAAAGGUACAUUAUUUUAUUUUUCCUACUGUGAUUAACUUAAUUUUACUGUACAUUCUCUAUUCAAAUCUAUUUAGAAUAUUUACUGUAAACAAAUUUUUAAAACAUUUAAGUUGCAAAAAAAAGGGGGGGGAGAUGGAGAGAUGGCACAGAGGUUAAGAGAACUGGCUGUUCUUCCAAAGGUCCUGACUUCAAUUCCCAGCAACCACAUGGUUGCUCAUAACCAUCUAUAAUGAAAUUGCAUGACCUCUUCUGGCCUGCAGGCAUACAUGCAGUACAGAAUACCAUAAAAAUAAUAAAUAAACCUUAAAAAACAUUUAAGUUGCUUAUUUUCAUCAAGCUUUCUAGAUCCCCUCAGCAUUUAAUAAUUUUUAAUAAGAUGAGGGUAUUAACAAUAGUAUUAGUUAGAACUGUUUUCUUUGAAACUUAUUGAAGUCAGGUUACUAAGCAUUUUAAUAAAGUAUAUAUUUAAAUUUAGCACAUCAAGGUUCAUAUGACAUUUUCUCUGUCUUAGCAUUUUGCUGAGAAUAUGUGUAGGAGGUAAUUAAAAACAUUAUAGAAGCCAGACAUGGUGGCACAUCCCUUUAAUCCUAGCAGAGGCAGAGUCAGGUGGAUCUCUAUGAGUUCAAGACCAGAGUGGUCUACAAAGCAAGUUCCAGGACAGCCAGGGCUAUUACACAGAGAAAUUGUGUCUUGAAAAUCCAAACCAAACCAAAACAAAAAAUGAAAAAUCCUACGAUAGAGAUAUUAAGUAUGAAAUGAGCAUUAUUUAGAAAGUAAAUAGGGACUGUAAGAAAAUGAGAACAUCAUAGCUUGACUUUUGUUUGUUUGUUUGUUUACACAUGGUCUAUUGUAGCCCAGGCUAACCUCGAAUUCCUGAUUCCUUCUGCCUCUGUUUCUGAGACCUGAGAUUACAAGAUUAUACUAGCACAUUUGAUUUAUGUAGUGCUAAGAUCAAACCCCAGGGCUUCAAACAUGUUAGGUGGGCAGUCUUACCAACUGAGAUAAUCCUCAGCCCAUAUUUUAAAACAUUUUUUCUUUUCUUUUUGUAUAUGUAGGCGUGAGGGGCAUGCCAAGAAGUAUGUGUGAAGGCCAGCUUGAAGGCGUAGUGUAUCUCAACAGAGUGGGUCCCGGGGAUUGAACUCAGGCUUGACGUUAAGAGUCUUUAUUUGCUGAACCAUCUCACUGGCCCUGAAAUUACUUUUUUUUUUUUUUUUUUUAACCCCGGUUUUUCCAGACAGGGUUUCUCUCAGUAGGCCUGGCUGUCCUGGAACUAGCUCUUAGACCAGGCUGGCUCAUCUUACCUUUGCCUCUCAAGUGCUGGGAUAAAGGCAUGUGUGACCACUGCCCAGCUGAAAUUACUUUUUAACUUGCAAAAUACAUAUUGCAGAAAAUUUGCCAUCUUCGCUCUUUUUGGUUUUUUGAUGUAGGGUUUCACUGUGUAGCUUUGGAACUACACAGUGGGACUCAGCUCUGUUGCCCCAGGCUGGCCUCAAACUCACAGAGAUCAGCUUGCCUCUGCCUCCCAGGUGUUGGGAUUAAAGGCUUGAGCCACCACCACUGUCUCAUGUUAGCAGUUUUUAAGUGUAUAAAGUUUUAUGGUGUUUAAGUACAUUUCCACUGUAACCAACACUACUGUUUAACACCAGAACUCUCCAUCUUGCAAAACUGAAACUGUUAUUCUUAGAUAGCUCUUCCUGGUUCCUCUCUCCUGCAGGAUCAUGGUAUCUACCAUUAUACUUUCUGUCUGGGAAGAAUAUUAAAAUUUUUGAGACAGGUUCUUACUAUGUAGCCAUAGCUGACCUAGAACUUUCAGUGUAGACCAGGCUGACAUCAAACUAGCAGGGAUCCACUCUCAAGUGUAGGAUUAGAGUCAUUCACUACCACACCCAGCUGUGUAUGAAUUUCAUAGGCCUAGAUAUUGCAUAGAAGGAUGACUUGGUAUCUGUUCUCUCUCUUUCUUUAUUUUUCCGAGACAGGGUUUGUCUCUGUAACCUUGGCUGUCCCAGAGUCAGGCUUGCCUUGAACUCACAGAGAUCUGCCUGCCUCUGCCUCCCCAAGUGCUGGGAUCACAGAAGUGUACCGUACCACCAAGCCCAGCUUUGGUAUCUGUUCUUAAGGUUGAAAAACACUUUUUGGUGUAUUUACUAUCUUCUUUAUUCUAAAUACUUAGAUUACUCUCCUCUAUCUUUUAGUGAAUACUAUAUGUUAUAAAUAUAUUUGUACAGAUAUCUGUUGACUCUGUGCUUUUUAAUUCUUUGCAAAUUGUUUUGAGGAACUAUAUCACCUCACCAUCAAGAACAAUAGGAAACACCUGAGUGUGGUGGAGCAUAGAGUUUCCAGUGACUUGGGAGGCUGAAGCAAGAGAGUUGUGAGUUCAAGACCAGCUUGGACAACAUAGUGAGAUCUCAUCUGAAAAGCAAACGAGGGGGCUUAGGGAUGUGGCUCACUGUAGUGUUUGCCUAACAUGCACAAAGCCCUGGAUUCCAUUUCUGGUACCACAUGAACCUGCAGGUGUCUAAUCCCAGCACUGGGAAGGUAGUAACAGGAAGAUCAGAAGUUCAAGGUCAUCCUCAGCUACAGAAUGAGUUCCAGGCCAGCCUAAGCAGUCCUAGAGACCCUAUCUCAGAAAAACAAAGCAAUAUGCACACAAAACAACAAAGCAAAAAAGCCUGCUUAAACAAGGAAGUCAAAAUGAAAGGACGGCAAGAUAUAUAAGUUGGUAGUUCAGAGAAAAGGAAAUCCGAUUAGAUGCUCUUUUUCUAUUCUAACUGGAUAUGAGUAAAAUACAUUAUUUACAGAUCUUGUCCAGCAGUAGCGGACUUGCCUAGUAUGCCUCAGAUCCUGGAUUUGAUCCCCAACAUAAACAAAACAAACAAAAGACAUAGACUGAUAAAAGUCUGUGAAUGUUCUGUGUAGGCAAAGUUGUUAAGAUACAAGAGCUCAUAUUCUCAUCAUAGGACUAUAUAUUGGAACAACUACUAUAAAAAGACAUUUGAUAUUAGCUAUUAAAAAAUUUAAUGCAUAUUCCCUUUGGCUCAGCAAUCCCAGGCUGAUAUCAGGACCCUGUGAGCUUCUGGCAAUAUAACUCCUUGCCCUCUAGUUUGUGGAAUUCUAAGAACAGAGUUCUAUUUGCAUUUUACUCGGGAACUGGAACUUUGCUUCAGGGCACAGACUUAUUAUGAUCAGGGCUCUGCCUUGGCAAGCUGCCUUGUCCUGUUUCCAUAUUUGUUUCCUAAAACAUAAGUAGUUUCUAUUACCCGCUCAGUCUCCUCAAACUUUCUAAGCUGCUUUUACUUCCCCGUGUGAUGACUUUUUUUGCUUCUCUUUGCUGAUGAUUCCAUUGUAGUACAGGGACUCGUAGAAGUUGAAGUACUUUAGAGUACACUGAUCUACCCAAGGCAAAACCCAACAAAUAAAAACCAAAUCAACCAAGUGUAAGAAGGAACCAAACUGAAACCAUUUUGAAUAAAAGUUCCAUUUUGAAUAGGGGUUUAAUUUCCCGAGACCUCCCUGGGUAACGGACAUCCUGCUUGGCAGAAAAAAGCAAGUACGUGUGUAAGUGGGUAACUGACAUCCCGGUUGGCAAGUUGAGACAUGAAUGAUAGGUAAGUCACCUUCCAACAGUUGAAUAACCCAAUUAGUGGGAACAGGUGAAGUGUACCACAAAGACCUGUUCUUAAGGAAGAUCCCUGUCCCUGCUAGGUGGGAAAAUGUAACUGUAACUUGGCACAGAUGUUUGUGGAUUUCGGGCUUAAAAACUAUGUGACAUUCUGGCUGGGGGCAGGUCUGCAGUUCAGCUCCUGAGUCUUUUCUUCGGCCCUGAUUGGCUUGAGUACAGUAAAUUUUUGUCAUCUGAUUAAAUACUUACUAAGAUGAAUGUCCAGCAGCCAGGUCCCAAGUCUGUGCUGUUGUCUCUGACUAGUCAGUUUUCGCUGCCUGAUUCAGAUAAAGAUCUUGUUUUGCUGGACCCUUGUGACUGCUUGGGUUGUCUUGGAUUUUCAGACCCUAACACAAGGAUCCUAAUUUUCUGUUUCACUAUUUCUAUCUAGUUAUUCUCUCAAAUGUUGGUGAUGUUUACCUUACUAAAACCCACACCCUUUUGGUCACUGCCCCACUUUCAUUUUAUGGAUUGCCUGCACUGCUCCUUGUAUAUCUAAAAUAUGGCUUUUGAAAGUAGGUAUUCUAGUGUUAAUUUCCAAAGAGCCAAAGUUUGAAAGAAGUCUUAACCAAGGUGAUCAUGUAGCACAUGUUUGUAAUUCCAGCAUUUUGGAAGCUGGGGCAGGAGGAACAGGUGUUCAGGGCAAACUUAUGUGGGAGAUCUUUUCUCCAGAAUAAGCUGGGCAUAGUGGCUGAUGUCUGUAAUCCUAGCACUUGAGAGGUGGAAGCAGAAGAACUUGGGGUUCAAGACCCAUCCCUAACUACAUAGUGAGUGUGAGGCCAGCCUGGGCUGGGUUAUGUCACUCUGUCUUAAUGAAAAAAAAAAAAAAAAAAGAAAAAAAAGAAAAGAAAAAGGAAUAUUAACCAUAAUAUAUCAUACCUACAUUUUUGAGUUACUUGCUUUUUAUUGUUAUUCUUUUCCUGAGAUAGGGUCUUAUGUAAUCCAGGUUGGCCUCUGCUAGGAUUAAAGGCAUGAGCCACUCUGUGAAUGCUAGGCAAGCACAUAACAACUCAGCUAGAUCUCCAGCCCCAUUGUUCUUCAAUAUCAUGAGUGCAUGCACAUCUAGGUAUGUGUGUUUAUUCGUGUGUGUACCCAUGGAGGCCAGAGGUCUACUCUGUUACUCUCUACCUUGCUUUUUAAGACAGGGUUGAUCACUAAACAUGGAGUUCACCGGUUGGCAAAACUGGUAAGCCAGCAAGUUCUAAGACUGUCCAGUCUCCUGUUCCCAACUCAGGUAUUAUUGGUGCACACUGUCACACUUGUCUUUUUCUGGGGAUCUAAACUCAGGUCCUUAUGUGUGCAUAGCAAAUUCCUUGCAUAGUAAGCCAUUUCUUCAGCCCCAAGGUAGGCGGGGUGUGGGGGGGAGCUUUGGCUGAGGGUGGUGCCUUAUAUCUAUUAUCCCAGCACUUGAGCAGCUAAGGCAGGAGGAUUUGCUGCAAGUUUAAGAGCUUGAGGCCAGCCUAGGCUACACUUUUGGUUAAUUAAGUUCUUGUCAGUUUUUCAUGUUUUCCUCACUAGAUCUCGUAUUUCGGAUUCCUGCUGUCUUAUCAUGAGUGACAUUUUGCCAUCAGAUGCCAUUGGUAGAAGAGUUGAAGUUAACGGAGAAUAUGCAACAGUGCACUUUUGUGGUGUUGUUCCUCCUGUGGCAGGACUCUGGUUAGGAGUUGAGUGGGACAAUCCUGAGAGAGGAAAGCAUGAUGGGAGCCAUGGAGGUACUGUGUAUUUUAAAUGCAGUCACCCAACAGGAGGCUCCUUUGUCCGUCCAAACAAAGUUAAUUUUGGAGUAGACUUUCUUACUGCCCUUAAGAAGCGUUAUGUGCUAGAAGAUGGACCUAAUGAUGACGAAAAAUCAUCUUCCUUGAUAGUUGGGAGUAAACAUGUGCAAACUGUUGGUUUUGACCAUAUCUCAAAGAAGCAGAGUCAGCUGAGAACACUGCAAGAAAUUUCCCUGUGGAAGUGUGCCGUGAGCUGUGCUGGCGAACAAGGAAGAAUUGCUGAAGCUUGUCCAAAUAUUCGAGUUGUAGAUCUGUCCAAAAACUUGCUAUCAACUUGGGAUGAAGUGAUUGCUAUUGCAGAGCAGCUCAAAGACCUGGAAGGUCUCAAUCUCAGUGAAAAUAAACUGCAGUUUCCCUCUGACUCACCAACUCCAACCACAACAUUUUCUACUCUGAAGACUUUAGUCCUAAACAAAACGGGAAUAACAUGGGCUGAGGUGCUGUGCUGUGCCCCUUCAUGGCCGGUCCUCGAGGAACUUUAUCUCAAGUCUAACAAUAUUUCCAUUUCAGAAAGGCCAGUGAAUGUCCUGCAGAAGAUGAGGUUACUAGACCUUUCCUCUAACCCAUCAAUUGAUGAAAGCCAGCUGUGCCUGAUAGCAUAUCUGCCCAGAUUAGAGCACCUACUCCUUUCUGACACUGGACUUUCUUCUAUACAUUUUCCAGAUGCUGGAAUUGGGUGCAAAACAUCCAUGUUCUCAUCCUUGCAGUACCUCGUAGUCAAUGACAACCAGAUAUCAGAAUGGUCAUUUAUAAAUGAGCUGGAUAAAUUACAGAGCCUGCAGGCUCUGUCCUGCACUAGAAACCCCUUGACUGAAGGAGACCACGCAAGGGAGAUCAUCAUUGCCAAGAUCGGUCAGCUGAAAACCCUGAACAGGUGUCAGAUUUUUCCAGAGGAAAGGUACGGAGCUGAGCUUGAUUACCGAAAAACCUUUGGAAAUGAAUGGAAAAAGGCUGGUGGUCAUCUGGAUCCAGACAAAAACAGGCCAAAUGCAGAGUUUCUCUCAGCCCAUCCUAGAUACCAGCUUCUCUGCUGCAAAUAUGGGGCACCUGAAGAUGAGGAACUCAAAACACAACAGCCAUUCAUGCUCAAAAAUCAGCUACUAACACUGAAGAUAAAAUGUUCAAACCAACUGGAACAGCAAGUGUUAGAAAAGCAGUUGCCAGAUUCCAUGACAGUUCAAAAGGUAAAGGGACUGCUAUCACGUCUCCUCAAAGUUCCUGUGUCAGAACUGAUGUUGUCCUAUGAAAGUCCCAAGCUCAAUACCAGCCAUGGGCUCUCCUCAGACUUACAGUCCCUGGUCUUUGAGGAUCACCUCACUUUUGCCUCACACUGACAAGGAUCACCGCACAGCUCCUUCAGUUCCCACAGUCUGCUCAGCUCUUCUGUCAAUGAAAGGGGUCACGGGCCACAUACAACCCCAACUUUAUUUGACCUUGGCACGCAGGUUGUGGUGAGGCAGCACUUCUGCCUGCAGCAGCUGACUGCAGAGGGGUGCAGACAUGUGGAGCACUUGGCGGCAGAUCAUUUGUCACAGUUGUACUUCUGGGCAAGCUGACAAAGGGACAGCGUAAUGAUGCCACCACGCAGGUACAGCACCAGGUGCAAGGUGCACUCUUUCUGGUUGUAGUUAGACAGGGUGCGGCCAUCCUCCAGCUGCUUGCCAGUGAAUACCAGCCUGUGCUGAUCAGGUGGAAUGGCUUCUGGUCUUGGAUCUUGGCCUUGACAUUUCCAGUGGUGUCACUGGGCUCCACCUUAAGAGUGAUGGAUGGUCUUGCCCAUGAGGGUCUUCAUGAAGAUCUGCACAUUGAGGUCCUCUCGGCUGCCCUCAUCUUUGAAGAGAAAGAGGACGACGGAACCAAAAACUAAUCAAAAUCUUUUUAAACCAUGUCAAUUCUGAUGGACGUAGGGACUGCUGGAACCAGCAUUUGCCUUGAGGGUACCUGGUGAUCCCUCUCUUAAAAGCACACCUAGAAUGAGGGACUCUCCAGUGGCAGCAGAGUGAGCCCCAUGCUUUGUGGGUACAUGGAAGAGAACAAAGCUUUCUAUCCAAGGGGCUCUUCAGCUCCAGAAAGCAAUGUGAAAGGUUUAAAAAAUGACAAUGCCCCCACAGGGCAGGAUAAAGUGGAUAUUCUAUGUAUGACUGUUCAGAGGCUAGAGUUACAAUAAAGGAUCUCAAUGCAUCAACAAGCUCCACACACAGUCCAUGGAAGCCACAGGUCACGAUGCUCAGAUUCACUGAGAAGGCCGAGUAUGCGGAGCAGCAGGACUCAAGCUGACAGGAUAUGUGUAUUCCUUUCCCUACUGAGUAGAUGACUCCAAAAUAACAACUGGCCCCAGUGAGGAAAUGUUACCUUCAACAAACUAAUUGGACCAUCUACACAGAUUAUGACUCCAAGAAAACACAUCCAGAAUACCCUUUUGAACUUCCAACCUGAGAAGGGAAGUGAAGAAAGAGAUCUGGAUCCAGGAUAUCCCAGAUGAUGAGUCUUUGGAAUUUUGAAAUCUCAGUGGCUUGAUGUUUCUACAUCAAAAUAACAAAGCAAAUUUCAGCUACCCAACAUCAGCACAACCUACCAUCUAUAAAAGUUCAGUAAUUUUGCAGGAACAUUCCGGUAAGUAUCCACAACAUCCACGAAGACAAUGUCGUCAUAGACGCUGCUUUCCUCCUGCAGUAAGGCAUCUUCUAUUCGCAGAUCCCGGAUGUGAUCUGCAAGUCUCUGGGGCCGAGAAUGAAGGCUUUGUAACAGUGUGUCGCCUUCUGAAAAGGAAAAGCUGACUGUUCACACUUGGGACCCAGAGCUUGAAAAUGUUCCCAGAAUUCCUUCCCCAAGCAAGCCCAUGGAGCACACGUUCCCAAGGAUCCUUAGGUGGGGCAGUUACAGUCAGUGAAGCCUACUUGUGAUGUGACAUUAGACAUACUGUCUUACAUGGGCAGCACAAUGUUCUCUGCAGCACUGUUUCAUUAUGCUGGGAAGCAACAAAACUUGAACCAACAGGGAAGGAAAAAUAAAAUAAAAUAAAAUAAAAAAGAGCCCAACUACGCUUUACUUGCAUAACAAAAUGCAUGGCUUUAAAAAUUAAGCUUUUGGCUUUGUUUUGGAGACAGGGUAUUCUGCAUAACCCAGGAUGGCUUUGAAGUCAUGAUCUUCCUACAGUCUCUUAAAUGUUAGCAUUUCAGGCAUACAACAUUGUACCCAGCUAAAUAAGGAACUUUUAAUAUGACAAGAUGACCUCUUACAGCAAAUUAUAAAACAAGGUUAACUACACUGAGUUUGCUUUGGCACUAGCCAGCUUACCCUGAACAGUGUAGAUAAAGCCACCUGCAACUCCCUCCACGCCUUCCAUGAAUUCAUGAGGCAGUGCCCCUUCCCCAGCCUGAAAGGAAUGAAAACAAAAGUGCUCAGGCAUUUCACGACUAACAGCGAAUAUAUUAACAAUGCAGAACUGAUCCAGCAGCAGAUACCCCUGUCCUACAGCAGACACUGACGCCAUGGAUUUUUAUUUAUACCUUUUACUUUAUUUCUUCAUUUUUACUUUAUGUGCAUAUUUUGUAUGCACGCAUGUAUGUAUGUCUGUAGUGUGCCUAUUCACCUGCAUGCAGGUCAGAAGAGGACAUUAGACACCAAAGCUGGAGACACUAAGCGGGUGCUGGGAACAUAACAUAGGUCCUCUGAAGAGCAGUGUGGUGGUCUGAAUAAGAAUGACCCCCUUCCAUAUCUCAUAUAUUUGAAUAUUUGGUCCCCAGUUGGUAGGACUGUUUGGAAAAGAUUAGUAGGAGGCAUGGCUUUGUUGGAGGAGAUGUGUUACUGGGGUGGGCCUUGAGGGUUCAAAAAGCCAUUCCCAGUUAGUUCUUGAGCCUGUGGAUCAAGAUGUAAACUCUCAACUACUGUUUCAGCAACAAGCUUGCCUGCCUGCUGCCAGGCUCCAUACCAUGCAUGGUCAUGGGUUCUAACCACUUGGAACUGUGAGUCCCAAAUUAAGCACUUUCUUGUAUAAGAUCUUUUAUAAGGUCUUGUAUUAUCACAGCAAUAGAAAAUAAUGAAUACAAGCAGUCAGUGCUCUCAACCACUAAGCCAUCCUUCCAGCCCUUAUGGCUUGGAUUUAAAGAAUCAGUAUGACUCUGGCCCAGUGCUCAGAAUUCCAAUGUAAAGAUAAAUAAAUGUUCUUAUACUCACAAACACAAUAGUACAAAAACCAUCUUGUUUUAAAUCUAACUCUAUAGCUUUAAAAAACAUUAAAGAAUUAUCACCUUUGUUUCCCCACAAAAAUUCUCAUGCCUGACAUAGCCAGGCAUGGUGGUACAUGCCUGUAAUUUUCAGCACUCUGGGAGGCAGAGGCAGGCACUAGCCUGGUCUACAAAGGGAGUCCAGGACAGCCAAGGCUGCACAGAGAAACAUGUCUCAAAAAAACCAUAAACAAACAAACAAAAAACCACAAUCUUUUAAUGCACUUGCACUUGAGAAUUCAAGGGCCAGGCAAGGAAAAGGUUCUUUAAACUAUCAUCUGUUCCCAACAAGUCAGACGGAAACUGACUUCCUCCUGCUGUUGAAGUCCGAGGACUUAACUGAUGCCAGCCAAUAACAGUCUUGCCUCUUAGAGGCAGUUCUAUCAGUGUAGAUACACUGUUGCCUUUUCUACCUCAUGCUCCAACAUGGCUGCCUUCCAGAAAAGGGCUGAAGCUAAUUAUCAAAAGCAGUCACCAGCACUUGCACAGCAUUUCCUAUACAGACUCCUCAUGUCAGAAGGGAUGCUGUGUGGUGACUAUUUAAGCAGAUCUCAGUAGAGAAGGACUCUACACAGCAUCAUUUUAAGGCCACUGGAGAGUACUCUGAGGUCACUGUGAAUACCAUGUCUUUCAUUUAAAAUACAGUUUGUAGAAGAAUGUUGUGGAUUUCAAAUCUAGUUUCAUAAUUGCAGUAUACUUCCUUUUUAAACUGCAGUAUGUUCUAUAUGUUUUGGCUUGUUUAGAAUUUAACAAUACUCUAGUGCUCGUGUUUUGGUUUGAAGUUGUUGUGAUAAACACUGUCUAAAAGCAACUUCCUUGAGGAAACUGUUUAUUAGGUUACAUUUCCAGGUCAAAUCUAUCAUUGAGGGAAGUCACGGCAGGAACCAAAGCAUGCACUUAGAGGCAAGCCUAACUAUUCUAUGCAGCAUUAUCUCUAACCAAGAAACUCAGUCACGGCUAAGGGAGGAUGGCUGCUGGAUGGGUCACAGACCACACUUCGCUAGCUUUUUAUAGUGCCCAGGACCACCUGUCCAGAGACUAGUGCUACCCACAGUGGAACGUGCCCUCUAUCAGUUAACAGUCCCUUACAGACAUGCCCACAGGCCUCAGGCCACAUUCUUCUUAGAUGACUCUACCAAACUGACAGGACUCUUGUAUAUUAAUUUUUCUCAAAGGUCACAGACUAGUUUUACAUUUCCCUGACAUCAUCACUUAUGGGCAGGGAGCAGACUUGGUGAAAUCUCUCCUGCUCAGGGGGCUUCUACCAAGGCCCCCUUUCUUCUCCAGUUAGCUAAGUAUUUAUGGUGUCUCUGACCUUCCACAACUAUUUUUCCUCCAAAGCAGAACAUUAGUCUUUGUAUUUGAACUUAAGUCUUCAACUUAGAAGGAAACUUAUUGCCUUAGUAUAACAAACUCAAAUAUUAUUAAAUUUUGUGUAACCUAGGUAUUUUUAAGUUUCACAAACAGAAGGUGGUAUGAUAUUUAAGGUACUUGUUCUGAAAAUAAUAAAAGAAAAAAAUUAUGAUUCUAUUCUAUAAAAUUCCUCUUACACAAAUAACAGGUAAAAUACUAUACAUGGCCUACAAGGCUAAGGGCAUGAUUACAUGUGACUCUGUGUGUCCAUUUAUUUAAUAUAUUUUCUUUUCUCUUACACAUUUUAAAAUUAUAUCUAUUUAUGUGUAGAUGUGUAUGUACAUGGGUGUUCACACUGAAUUUAAUUCAACAGGCUUGGCAUCACAUGCCUUUACCUUCUGAGGCAUCUUGUCAGCCCUUGACUUACUUUUUCCUUGGAUUAUGGACCUGUGAUGGAAUAACUGUGCCUGCCUUUCAGAAGGUAUGCAAGAAAUACUUUCUGAAAUAAGUCAUAUAGCACUCAUUUCAAAACCAAGAACUAUUUCAUCAUCAUCAUUUCUCAACUUCUACAUUUAAAUGCCAAGUGUCUUCCUAUUCAUUAGACUAAGCACCAAGGGGGAAGGUAAAGUUGUCUGCAACAGCGUAACACACCUCUUGCUUACUAUGUCUGUCUGUACCUUUACUAUGCUAUGUUUGAAAAAUCUAACCUGAGGAGAACCUGACAAGAAACAUGACUCAGAAACUUCAGAGCUGCUUCAAAAUAAAAUUAAAGUAAGCAUUCUCUCACUCUCUCUUUAAAGACAGCAUCACGCUGUCUAUGUUGUCCAGGCUGGCCCUCAACACUGGACUAAAGCAAUCUUUAGCUUGACAGGAAGCUGGGACCACAGGCACGGGACAUUGUGCUCAGUUUAAUAUUUUAGUGUAGUAUUUUAACUAACAUUUUGCUAUCAAGGUAAGAUAGGCAACUAUGGAAAAAAUGUUUCUUUUCUUCCUUUCUUACUCUGUAGCUAGCUGGUCUCAAGUUCAGGACAAUGCUGCUGUUUCAGCUUCCUGAGUGCUGAGAACACAGGUAUAAACUACUAUACUAAGCUAUGAACAAACGUUGCUAAAAUGUUCACUAAAAGAACUAAUGAGAAAUAAAAUACCAUACUUUAAAACUGAACAAUCUUAAGGCAAAACUACAUUAUUCAUUAACACUGAAGUUACAGGAACAUACAGCUCAAGCUGUUCAUCUUCACUAUGGUAAUUCAGUAAUACUUUCUCCUGCGUGUACUCAAAACUUCUGUUUGAAACUUCCUGGGAAAAAAGUAAAUUCUGAACUUUCUAUGCAUAUAAAAUUGUUUAUGUUUCUAACCAACCCAAAAAAACAAAGGGCAGCUUACUGUAAUGACUCUGAGAACACCUCCUCCAUCGUUCAUUGUCACUGUGUGUAGGUUUCUGGACACGAGGCCAUGGAGAUCUUGGCUUUCCCACACGAUUGUACCUUCAAAGCUCUUUUGAGGAAAAAUAGUGAAUCAAUUUGUUUAUUCUUGUCACUUACAUUCUGAAAAAUGUCAUCUCUCUCUCUCCCCCACCCAAAACACAUCAGUUAAAACUUUUAAGCCACAACUUGAACAUUUCAUUGUUGUCAUGGUAGUGUAUUUUAAAAUAACAGUCACAGAGUUCAUGGUGUUUGCAGAUGCUACCUGCUGUUCUGCUGUAUCAAUUUCCUAAUGUUGCUACAACUGUUCUUUCCAAUGUGGGUAUGAGAUGUCAGGUAGCUGACACCUGAUUUACAGCUGUUGUCUGCUGACAGAUACUUGACAGAAACCAGAUGGCUACUGUAACAUAGGAAUGUUUUGGUGUAUCUUUUUCCAAAAUGCUCUAUUUAAAAUAAAUUCUCAGAGGUGACAUUACUGGGGAAA